rnacentral:rRNA from 1 species
GACGGACGCUGGCGGCGUGCUUAACACAUGCAAGUCGAACGAGAAUCUGUGGAAAGAGGAUUCAUCCAAUUGAAACAGAGGACAGUGGCGGACGGGUGAGUAACGCGUGAGGAACCUGCCUUUCAGAGGGGACGAACAGUUGGAAACGACUGCUAAUACCGCAUAACGCAUAGAAGUCGCAUGGCUUUUUAUGCCAAAGAUUUAUCGCUGAAAGAUGGCCUCGCGUCUGAUUAGCUAGUUGGUGAGGUAACGGCCCACCAAGGCGACGAUCAGUAGCCGGACUGAGAGGUUGAACGGCCACAUUGGGACUGAGAUACGGCCCAGACUCCUACGGGAGGCAGCAGUGGGGAAUAUUGGGCAAUGGGCGCAAGCCUGACCCAGCAACGCCGCGUGAAGGAAGAAGGCUUUCGGUUGUAAACUUCUUUUGUCAGGGACGGGAGAGACGGUACCUGACGAAUAAGCCACGGCUAAACUACGUGCCAGCAGCCGCCGU